UACAGGGGGUGCAAACGUUGCUCGGAAUCAUUGGGCGUAAAGCGCACGUAGGCGGUUCGUUAUGUCGGAUGUGAAAGCCCUUGGCUUAACCGAGGAAGUGCAUCCGAAACUGGCGAGCUAGAGUACUAAAGAGGAUCGCGGAAUUCCCGGUGUAGAGGUGAAAUUCGUAGAUAUCAGGAGGAACACCGAUGGCGAAGGCAGGUCUCUGGGCCACUACUGACGCUGAGAAGCGAAAGCAUGGGGAGCGAACAGG
rnacentral:rRNA from 1 species